CCAACGUGCUGUGGGCUUCUUGGCAGUAGAAAGUAGAAGUGCGUCGCAGAGUGGAACGGAAAAGGCGAAAAGCAGGCAAGCAAACUCUUGAUCUCUCCCCGCCUGCGUGCGUGUGCGCCUCACCACUACCACCACCGCUACCACUAACACCAUCAACAGCACCCUCCCUUUUGGCGCCCCGCGCUCGUUUCUCUCUCCCCAUCAUCGACGUGCGCAGAGACGCACACGUAGACAACCGCUACGUGCGUUGCUUUACGUCUACUCGUGUAUGUCUAGUGGUGGUGGGGAGGCGUCGACGCGGCCGCCGCCGCCGCCGUCGUCGUCGCCAUCGCGCGGGGCCCCUGCCGCUGAGGCCAGUGACGCGGCCAACGCCGCGGACGGCACACAUGGCAGCCUGUCCCCGGUGGAGCUGGAGGCCAUUGAGCAGCGCUUCGUGGAGGUACUGCGUGCCCUCUCCGCUGAGCCACAGCUGGAGCCGUUCCGCAACGAGUACGAAAAGCUACACCGCCUGCUCCUCAGCAGCCACGAUGGAGAGCAGCGCCUCCUCCGACAAGCGCGCGAGCUGCGCGACGAGCUAGACACACACCAACAGCAGAUUACGACGGCGAUGCAGCUUUCGCAGGAGGACGAGGAGGCAAUCCGAACUCUGCGGGGGGAAAUCGAGGCAGCGUGGGCGAAAGCUGAUACCGCGCACGAGCAAGAGCAGCGCAGUCGCGAGCUCUUGCACACGCUACGGCAGCAGGUCACCGAACUCGACGCGAUGGUCGAGAAGACAGCAGGGCUGUCGAUGGGGCAAGAAGCGUACUUGCGUGAUCUGCUCACCGUAAAGAAGGACCGCGAGGAGGAGGCGAUGCUGCUGCGCGCGGCGUUGAAUCGGACAGAGGCAGAUCACCGGCACGUGUGCGUGCAACUCGAUGCCGCCACGCAGGCGCACGAGGCGGCCCAGCACGAGCGAGAUGAGCAGCGCCACGCCUAUCAGCACUUGCUCACCAGCCUCGAGGCGGAGCAACGGGAGCGGGCGGCGAAGGAGGCGAGCGUGCGGCAGUACCGCGACACGACGGAGUUGUGCAUGCGUCGGCUCGACGAGCGCGGCGUCGAGGUGGAGCGAGCCAUACGGGAAGAGAAGAAAGCCGCCAAGGAGGCGGAGGGCACGGCGCAGGAAAUCCAAGCCAUCGCCCGCCAGCUGCAGGAGCGGCAGGAGCGCUUCGCUGUCGAGGCAGCCCGGCUCGCUGCUGCCGAGCGCGAGAACACGAUCCUCACGCGCGAGCUGCCGCAGCGGCAAGCUGCCCUGCGCGAACAGCAGGAUGAGCUGAAGCGCGAGGAGAAGCAGCUGCACUUGCUGGAGAAGUCGGCGCGAGCGCAGCAGGCGGAGCUGGCCGCACUCGUCGAGAAACGCGCGACGGCCGCCGCAGCGGUGCAAACACGCGCCAACUCUGUCGAUGCCGCCCUGGCCGAGCUGGCGACAGAGGAGAAGGCGCGCGCGGUGCUGGAGGAGGCGGUCGCCAAGGUGAUGCAGCGCAAGACCAACACGAUGCACACCAAUACUGUCAAGGCCACGGCGAGUUCGAAGGUGGAGGGGCAGCGCGUCAUGGAGGCUGGCAAGAGUCGGCGCCUCAGCCGGCAGCUGGAGCUGCUGCGGACGGACAAUGAGCAGAUGCGCAAAACAAUUUACUAUGCCGAGCAGAACCACGAAAAGAACACGAAGGAGGCGCAGCAGGCGCUGCUGAACUACCACCGGACCCUCGACGCUAUUCGCACGCGCCGCAGCGAGGCCAAGGCGGUCGAGGAGGAUAUCGCGCUCCAUCAGAAGAAGCUGAAGGCGCAGCAGGCACUGCUGAGCACCGUGACGGCGGAUCGCCAGAAGACGGAGAAGGCGUUGCGCGAAACAGAGGCAGAGCUGCAGCUGCUGCGCAACCGACACGGGAGCAAGCAGGAGGAGCUGGAGUCGGUGAAAACAGAGCUGAUCCAACAGGAGGCGGACAUGUGCCAGCUGCAUGGUCUCAGUCGGCAGCUAAACAAGGAUGUCGCCAACACGGAGCAGCGCCUGCGGUUCCUGCGGGAAGAUCAGCAGCAUGCCGAGAGCCGCGUCGAGGCACUACGCAGCGAGGCGCAAGAACUUCGGCAGGUGAUUGCGCAAUACGAUCUGGAAGCACGGCAGCAAGGCGCGCGGCUGAAGUACAUGACGCACGAGCGCAACGCCAUCGCGACGCAGCUGCUGCUCCGCUCCGAGGAACUCGAGCUGAUCCGCGAGAAGAUCCGCCUUGCUGAUGUGGCGCGGGUAUCUGGGGUCACCAAGUACCAGCGAGCGAUGAAGCAGCUGCUGGAAUCACGCGACUUGCUUGUUGAGCAGCGGCUGCGCUGCCGCAUUGCCCUGGUGCGGCUCCGCUACCUCGAUCGCCUCCACACCAAGGAGGUGCAUCAGGAGAAGCUGCUGUCACAGUCCCGCGCGCGGGUGCGGGCGCUGGCGGACGAGCUCGGCACCAAGCACAACGUGCACUGCUGGCGGAGCAUGGAAAGCAACGCGCCAGAGGUGCUGGAUGCCCUCGCCAAGGUUCAGCUCCUGCAGGCGAAGCUGCUGCGCAAACAUGGCGAGUUGAAGGAAAAGACGGACCUGGUUGAGAAAGAGGAACGUGCCUAUCAGCAGCUGCGGCAGAAGCUGGCGCGGAUGCCGGGGCCGGAGGCCGCCGAGGAGCUCGCCCUCUGCGCCGAAAACAUGCAGCAGCGCAAGGCGCAGCUGCUGUGCAUGACGGACUCUCUGGCAGAAGCGGAGCAGGAGGCGGAGGCUCUGGAAGUGCAUGUCGCGCAGCUCCAGGAAGAACUUCAAGACCUGAAGCACCGCUACUACCAGGAGAAAACAAAACACACCGCCUUGAGACAGGAGGAAAAGCUCAUAGCGCGAACUUGGGGUGCUGGCAGCGCCGGUGUCGGAGCUGCCAGGCAAGCGGGCAGCGGUACGGGCUCUUCCGCAGGCGGCGGCGGGGUAGCGGUAGUAGCAGCAGGCGCAUCGGCGCCUUCAGCAGAGCAGCGACGCACCAACACCGAUGACAGGUCCCCGUCGGGUGGCGGAUCAGCUUCUGCUGAUGUGGGGCACAGGUCUGGCUCACAGCCGCAGCGGCCGCACCUCCAUGCAGGCGGCUCUGCCGUCGCUAGUAACAGCCACAACGGCAUUCAAGCCGCAGCGAGCGGCACUGCAUGCAGCGGCACUGGUCAAAUGAGCGCGGCCAACAGCGGCAGCGUAGGCAACGGCUCUGUCCCGCCACGCAACGGCCGCCGGCGCGCGCCGCUGGCCGAGGCGAUGCUAGACACGCUGACGGCAGGGCCGCCACAGCCGAACUUCCCGCUGCAGAGGCCACCCCAUCAGCGGCAGUUUGUCGGCGGCGGCUUCUCUCUCACUCGAUGAUGGCGCGGGGGGAGCCGCGGGUGUGCCUGUGUGUGUGUGUGUGUGUGUGUGUGUGUGUGUGUGUGUGUGUGUGUAGCCUGUCUGUGCAUCCCCAUGCCUGUGUGGCGCCGCCGCAGUCUGUGUGCGUGUUGUGGCCGCUCCUCCGUCUCCGUUGCCUCGCUCAUUUCUCGUUUUUGCCCUUCGUUGAUGUACCUUAGUGCUUUCCCAUGUCCCAUGUGCCUCCGAAUACGGACGAUGCUCAGGGUGGGUUGCAGCGCCCCACCCCCCACCACCACCCUCUCUCGGUCACGUACGUGUGUGUGUGUGUGUGUGUGUUUGGGGGGGCGGGGGGAGGAGGAGACGGCGGUAUCCGUCCGCACGCAUAACCACUUGCAUCCAAAAAGUGUCCUCCUCGCCUUGGUCCAUGAAAAGAGAUGUCGUCGGUGCGUGAGAAGCACAUCCCUCAGCGCUGCACCAGUGCUGGCCAGCUAGGGAGCACCUUUGCCUACAACGCUGCGGAGCGUUCGUCUUCUGCGGCGCACGCGCCUCGAAGGCCGACAGAGAGGAGUGGCGGAUGAUGAUGUCCGAGGGUGCUGCGUCGGCAACGUCCGUACGUUGGGCAGAAGUGCAAAGAGCGACCGGUCGCGAUCGAGUGUGCGCGCGGGAACAGAAACGGGCCGCGUGACUGGUCUCCAGUCCCCUCGCUCGCUGGCACACACACACACACACACACGCACACACAAACUCGCCAAAUGAACGCAGAUGCCCUUCCCUUCCCAAUCCCCGCGCGUUACGUUGUGCAGCGCCCUCGUUCACAUGCCUGAAGCGGCACAAAAACCGCCGCCACCCCUCCCUCUCUCUCCAAGCCCUCACUAUCUCCUUGGGCUGCGCUACUCACGCGGUCCUCUCUCUCUCUCCUUCCCUUGCAG
rnacentral:misc_RNA from 1 species